AUAACCAACAUUAAUUAUCCCUGGGGCCAUGGGAUAAACAAAAACUCUGCAAAACCAAGUUAGCACACCCUAGAAUGGUUCUAGCACAAUUACUAACCUAUGGCUCUGAUACCAAUUGAUGGGAAAAACCU
rnacentral:pre_miRNA from 11 species